AUGAAAAUCACCGGGCUUGGUCACGCAAGCCUAUCACCCAAGUGGGGUGGGGGUAUUAAAAUGAUAGGAAUAUUGUUAUCGGCUAUAUGAUUUGGGUCACGGAUCAUGAUCACAAUGUCUAAGACAUUGACCACCCUUGGUGUGAACACUUAGAGGAACAGUUUGGUUGGUUGCACAACACAAAGAGCCAAGAGGGGGGCAUGCAAGAAGAACUCCUCAUCCCUUGAGGGACGCACCUGGAUUCAGUGUCAGGUGAUUAUGUUGUCUUAACAGAGCAACGCUCUCAGUAAGUGGAAAGAUUCCUAUAGAUCUUGCCCCAAGUGAUAAUCAAAAUUUUGAUUCAUAUAAAUAUAUU
rnacentral:lncRNA from 1 species